GACGAACGCUGGCGGCGUGCUUAACACAUGCAAGUCGAACGGAAAGGCCCUGCUUUUGUGGGGUGCUCGAGUGGCGAACGGGUGAGUAACACGUGAGUAACCUGCCCUUGACUUUGGGAUAACUUCAGGAAACUGGGGCUAAUACCGGAUAGGAGCUCCUGCUGCAUGGUGGGGGUUGGAAAGUUUCGGCGGUUGGGGAUGGACUCGCGGCUUAUCAGCUUGUUGGUGGGGUAGUGGCUUACCAAGGCUUUGACGGGUAGCCGGCCUGAGAGGGUGACCGGCCACAUUGGGACUGAGAUACGGCCCAGACUACUACGGGAGGCAGAAGUGGGGAAUAUUGCACAAUGGGCGGAAGCCUGAUGCAGCAACGCCGCGUGCGGGAUGACGGCCUUCGGGUUGUAAACCGCUUUCGCCUGUGACGAAGCGUGAGUGACGGUAAUGGGUAAAGAAGCACCGGCUAACUACGUG
rnacentral:rRNA from 1 species